AGCGAACGCUGGCGGCAGGCCUAACACAUGCAAGUCGAACGAACCCUCGGGGUUAGUGGCGGACGGGUGAGUAACACGUGGGAACGUGCCUUUAGGUUCGGAAUAACUCAGGGAAACUUGUGCUAAUACCGAAUGUGCCCUUCGGGGGAAAGAUUUAUCGCCUUUAGAGCGGCCCGCGUCUGAUUAGCUAGUUGGUGAGGUAAUGGCUCACCAAGGCUACGAUCAGUAGCUGGUCUGAGAGGAUGACCAGCCACAUUGGGACUGAGACACGGCCCAAACUCCUACGGGAGGCAGCAGUGGGGAAUCUUGCGCAAUGGGCGAAAGCCUGACGCAGCCAUGCCGCGUGGAUGAUGAAGGUCUUAGGAUUGUAAAAUCCUUUCACCGGCGAAGAUAAUGACUGUAGCCGGAGAAGAAGCCCCGGCUAACUUCAUGCCAGCCGCCGCAGUAAUAC
rnacentral:rRNA from 1 species